AGAGUUUGAUCAUGGCUCAGAUUGAACGCUGGCGGCAGGCCUAACACAUGCAAGUCGAGCGGUAGCACAGAGAGCUUGCUCUCGGGUGACGAGCGGCGGACGGGUGAGUAAUGUCUGGGAAACUGCCUGAUGGAGGGGGAUAACUACUGGAAACGGUAGCUAAUACCGCAUAAUGUCGCAAGACCAAAGUGGGGGACCUUCGGGCCUCAUGCCAUCAGAUGUGCCCAGAUGGGAUUAGCUAGUAGGUGGGGUAAUGGCUCACCUAGGCGACGAUCCCUAGCUGGUCUGAGAGGAUGACCAGCCACACUGGAACUGAGACACGGUCCAGACUCCUACGGGAGGCAGCAGUGGGGAAUAUUGCACAAUGGGCGCAAGCCUGAUGCAGCCAUGCCGCGUGUGUGAAGAAGGCCUUCGGGUUGUAAAGCACUUUCAGCGGGGAGGAAGGCGGUAAGGUUAAUAACCUUAUCGAUUGACGUUACCCGCAGAAGAAGCACCGGCUAACUCCGUGCCAGCAGCCGCGGUAAUACGGAGGGUGCAAGCGUUAAUCGGAAUUACUGGGCGUAAAGCGCACGCAGGCGGUCUGUCAAGUCGGAUGUGAAAUCCCCGGGCUCAACCUGGGAACUGCAUUCGAAACUGGCAGGCUAGAGUCUUGUAGAGGGGGGUAGAAUUCCAGGUGUAGCGGUGAAAUGCGUAGAGAUCUGGAGGAAUACCGGUGGCGAAGGCGGCCCCCUGGACAAAGACUGACGCUCAGGUGCGAAAGCGUGGGGAGCAAACAGGAUUAGAUACCCUGGUAGUCCACGCCGUAAACGAUGUCGAUUUGGAGGUUGUGCCCUUGAGGCGUGGCUUCCGGAGCUAACGCGUUAAAUCGACCGCCUGGGGAGUACGGCCGCAAGGUUAAAACUCAAAUGAAUUGACGGGGGCCCGCACAAGCGGUGGAGCAUGUGGUUUAAUUCGAUGCAACGCGAAGAACCUUACCUGGUCUUGACAUCCACAGAACUUUCCAGAGAUGGAUUGGUGCCUUCGGGAACUGUGAGACAGGUGCUGCAUGGCUGUCGUCAGCUCGUGUUGUGAAAUGUUGGGUUAAGUCCCGCAACGAGCGCAACCCUUAUCCUUUGUUGCCAGCGGUCAGGCCGGGAACUCAAAGGAGACUGCCAGUGAUAAACUGGAGGAAGGUGGGGAUGACGUCAAGUCAUCAUGGCCCUUACGACCAGGGCUACACACGUGCUACAAUGGCAUAUACAAAGAGAAGCGACCUCGCGAGAGCAAGCGGACCUCAUAAAGUAUGUCGUAGUCCGGAUUGGAGUCUGCAACUCGACUCCAUGAAGUCGGAAUCGCUAGUAAUCGUAGAUCAGAAUGCUACGGUGAAUACGUUCCCGGGCCUUGUACACACCGCCCGUCACACCAUGGGAGUGGGUUGCAAAAGAAGUAGGUAGCUUAACCUUCGGGAGGGCGCUUACCACUUUGUGAUUCAUGACUGGGGUGAAGUCGUAACAAGGUAACCGUAGGGGAACCUGCGGUUGGAUCACCU
rnacentral:rRNA from 1 species